rnacentral:rRNA from 1 species
CUCAAAGGAAUUGACGGGGGCCCGCACAAGCCGGUGGAGCAUGUGGUUUAAUUCGAAGCAACGCGCAGAACCUUACCAGCCCUUGACAUGGGCAGGACCGGUCCAGAGAUGGGCUUUUCCCGCAAGGGACCUGCCGCACAGGUGCUGCAUGGCUGUCGUCAGCUCGUGUCGUGAGAUGUUGGGUUAAGUCCCGCAACGAGCGCAACCCUCGCCUCUAGUUGCCAGCAUGUUUGGCUGGGCACUCUAGAGGAACUGCCGGUGACAAGCCGGAGGAAGGUGGGGAUGACGUCAAGUCCUCAUGGCCCUUAUGGGCUGGGCUACACACGUGCUACAAUGGCGGUGACAGUGGGAAGCCAGGUCGCGAGGCCGAGCCGAUCCCGAAAAGCCGUCUCAGUUCAGAUCGCAGCCUGCAACUCGGCUGCGUGAAGGUGGAAUCGCUAGUAAUCGCGCAUCAGCAUGGCGCGGUGAAUACGUUCCCGGGCCUUGUACACACCGCCCGUCACACCAUGGGAGUUGG